rnacentral:rRNA from 1 species
AGCAGCCGCGGUAAUUCCAGCUCCAAUAGCGUAUAUUAAAGUUGUUGCAGUUAAAAAGCUCGUAGUUGAAUUUCGGGGUCAGUAGGUUGGUCGUGCCACUGGUAUGCACUGGUCUCACUGAUUCCUCCUUCCUGAUGAGCCGUAAUGCCAUUAAUUUGGUGUUGCGGGGAAUCUGGACUGUUACUUUGAAAAAUUAGAGUGUUUAAAGCAAGCUAACGCUUGAAUACAUUAGCAUGGAAUAAUGAAAUAGGACGAUCGAUCCUAUUUUGUUGGUUUCUAGGAUUGACGUAAUGAUUAAUAGGGAUAGUUGGGGGCAUUAGUAUUCAAUUGUCAGAGGUGAAAUUCUUGGAUUUAUUGAAAGACUAACUACUGCGAAAGCAUUUGCCAAGGAUGUUUUCAUUAAUCAAGAACGAAAGUUAGGGGAUCGAAGACGAUCAGAUACCGUCGUAGUCUUAACCAUAAACUAUGCCGACUAGGGAUC